ACAUAUACCAUGUCAAAGUGUCAAAUAAUGAAUGAAUAAUUUAAAAAAAAUCUUGUUCAGCGUUCUUACUUUGGAUUCUAGAAAGUUCUGAAAAAGACUUCUGUCGUGUCCUCUGGGAAUGGAGAGAGUGGACUGACAGAAUGGGACCAGGGUUCUGCGACUGAAUAGCUGCAUCACACUGAGCAAGUCACAGCUUCUGUGGAUACGUGUGGGGACCAAAGCCCGGGGAGUUCUGCCAAGAGUUGCAUGGAUAAUAAGUAUUCACAUAACGCUGCCUUCCUGCAGAGUAUAGUCAGAAACCCAACUCAGGCUGCCAAAUAGUAGACUGGCUUCAGUUUCCUCUGUUGAAGAUUUAUCUUGUUAGAGAGCCAAACUUUAAGAAAACCACUUCUUUUGUACCAGGAACGAACAUACGGUCAUUAGCAAAGGUUACACAAUUUUGUUUUGUUGAGCUUUUAUUUAGCAAUGCGACAAGAAGUAAUAAAUGUCCUGGCAGGUUUUAUUAAAAGGCUUGCUUAAGUCAAUUAUAGCUCUAUCUAUUAUGGAGUUGCUCAACAUUUCCCUCUUAUCGACAUUCUUGAAGAACACUUUAAUUACUACUCCUUUGUAAAAUGACGAAGCCACAGAAACACUGUUUGUAUGUUAGCACUGGCCACAUUUAUAUGUUCAUACAAUGGCACCGUAUACAUUUGUAUGUUUCUACGCUGGUACUGGAUGCAUUGAGAACAAUAAGCUAUCCUCCAGUUUUUCAAUGCAGAAGGAUCUAGAAGGCACCCUCACCUGGACAGCAUAAUAAGAAACAGACACAUGGUAGCAGUUUUGAAAAUAUGGGAACAUGUUACACUAAGGUGAAAUAAACGUAUAUCAAACAUGACUUAGCUUACUUACAUCAUGUUUUCAAUACUGAAAAACACUGAAAAUAAAAGCCAUCGUCUCUCAGUACCUGCUUUCAUUUUCCUCUUUAUUUUAUUUUGUGUCUCAUCCCUGGUGUCUACAGUGUAAUUUGACAACUAUUAAUUCAGAAAGUUAUUUGUUUUGGUCCUUUCUGCGGACCUGAAGCAGGCAUUAGUUGGUAGCCCUGGAAGCCAUUUUGAACACGUAGGUGGUUCCAGAAAUCCCUUUUGACUUCUUCAGAUCUGCUGCUUCUGCUUGCUCCCAUGGUGAGGGACCUCACCGUCACCGGGGCCUUUUUUUUUUUUUUUUUCCUAUGCUUGGUGGAAACUUAAAAGGAUGUGGGCUUAAGAAAUUACAAAUUCCAGAAUGAAGUACUAAUGAAGUUCCCGGACACAAAUCACUUCACACACUCCACUUAGAGGAUUUGUUUAAUUGACUGAGGAAAUAGUUUGAAGGGGAAGGGAGCAUUUCUUUUCAUUAGUGUUCAAAUGAAGUGCAAAUUAUAGAACUCGGGCUCCAUAUUUCCUAAAGAUAGAAACUCUGGAGAAGGGGAGAAAAAUUAGGACCGGAACUCAGUUUAAAAUCAGAAACAAAUGCAGUUUGGGUAGAAAAGUUUGGGCAAUUUUCUACAUGGAUAAUUUGAGAGCAACUAACUAAUGGGGGCUGGAAAUGACUCCCCCCUCAAGUGCCUGGGGUUUGCAGCCCAGUUUUAUUUUGUGUUUGUUUUUAUGUCACAUUCAGCCUGAUUCUUUAAUUAAAAAACAACAACAACAUAGUAUCUGGGCAGAGAAGACAAGGCAAGUAUUUGAACCAAGUGUCAGACCUGAGGUGUUAAGUGACUAAAGAUGGUGCCUGCAAUUAUAGGGGCUGGCAUAAAAUUACAGGCCUUAUUAAUCUGCAAGCUUCCUGGCUUAGCUCGGCUAUCAGGUGGACCAGUAACCGGUUUCUGCUGCACAUCUCCUCGCCCAAUUAAAGCCAGUGCAUAGCCAUCACAUAGACCAUGCCAUUAUCAUAAUAUGUUGUAAGGAUUGUUUCUUAGACUCUUCAUGGGGUGAAUUUCACCUCUGAGGCUAUCUGACAGACAGGGUUGGCUCUCUUUAGCCCAAUUCAAGCCUCAGCGAUUGCCAGCUCUGUACACAGAGAUGAGCAUGGCCAUUGUCAGUCCCAGGGACCUCAUCAUCUUAACAACUGCUCUGUGUGCCUGGACUGGUCCACAUAGGCUAGGUCGGGAUGCCAGAAAUAGUUAUAAAGCGAAUGCUAUGGCCAGGUGUGUGGAAUGGUCCUCACCGGUGCUCCAGGCUCGUGGGAGUGAGAGGCAGGUGGAUCUCUGUGAGUUCAAAUUCAAUAUGGGUUACAAAGAAAGUUUCAGGCUAGCCAGGGCUACAAAGUGAGGAGAGUCUAUCUCAAAGACAUGACAUAACAAAAAACCAACCAAACAAAAUUAGCAAGAGAGGCCCACCCACCACCACACCGCUACAUUGUGCAAGUGUGUGAGGGAGAGAUGAGAG
rnacentral:lncRNA from 1 species